GUGAACGCUGGCGGCAUGCCUAACACAUGCAAGUCGAACGAGACCUUCGGGUCUAGUGGCGCACGGGUGCGUAACGCGUGGGAAUCUGCCCUUAGGUACGGGAUAACCCAGGGAAACUUGGGCUAAUACCGUAUGAUGACGUAAGUCCAAAGAUUUAUCGCCUAAGGAUGAGCCCGCGUAGGAUUAGCUUGUUGGUGAGGUAAAGGCUCACCAAGGCGACGAUCCUUAGCUGGUCUGAGAGGAUGAUCAGCCACACUGGGACUGAGACACGGCCCAGACUCCUACGGGAGGCAGCAGUGGGGAAUAUUGGACAAUGGGCGAAAGCCUGAUCCAGCAAUGCCGCGUGAGUGAUGAAGGCCCUAGGGUUGUAAAGCUCUUUUACCCGGGAAGAUAAUGACUGUACCGGGAGAAUAAGCCCCGGCUAACUCCGU
rnacentral:rRNA from 1 species